GUAAGAUGGUUUACUUACAUCCUCGCUAAGGGUUUGCUUUGCACCGCCCACGUGAGGAUCGCCAGAGCCUCUGUCCUACCUCCUGUUGCAGCAGCUUCUCAGGAGCCCGGUGGACGCCCUUGCUGACAGCUCUUUCUUAAUGAAGACACAUUUACAGCUUUGACAAGGAACAACUGCAGUUCAUCUACUGCCACCAUAGAACUAAAGAUUAUGAUUAUUUCAUGAUUUAAGCAAAACAGGUAAUCUACUUAAAUUGUGAAUUAUCCAGCAAAGUCCAAGAAUGACGUCGUCAUGUGAGGUGAAUUCUGAGUGCUGGUGAGAAAACUCCCAAGAAAACGAGAGUCCCGUGACCUCAGCUUCUUCAAAACACAAGAGUUUAUUCUUGGGAUGUGUUUGCAUGCUCCUGCCAGGUGUGUGGGAUAGGAGUGAGUUUCCUUCAGCUGUUCUCAUUCACACACCUCUGUGGAAAAUGGUUUUGUCACAUGUGGUUUGUCCUUGUGCUCCAACACCUUAGUCAUGUGAUUCCUCUUCACCCUCAGAGUACAAUCUGUCUGAUGGUCUGAAUAAAGCUGACUAUUG